GAUGAACGCUGGCGGCGUGCCUAAUACAUGCAAGUCGAGCGAACAGACGAGGAGCUUGCUCCUCUGACGUUAGCGGCGGACGGGUGAGUAACACGUGGAUAACCUACCUAUAAGACUGGGAUAACUUCGGGAAACCGGAGCUAAUACCGGAUAAUAUAUUGAACCGCAUUGUUCAAUAGUGAAAGACGGUUUUGCUGUCACUUAUAGAUGGAUCCGCGCCGCAUUAGCUAGUUGGUAAGGUAACGGCUUACCAAGGCAACGAUGCGUAGCCGACCUGAGAGGGGGAUAGGCCACACUGGAACUGAGACACGGUCAAGACUCCUAAGGGAGGCAGCAGUAGGGAAUCGGACGCAAUGGGCGAAAGCCUGACGGAGCAACGCCGCGUGAGUGAUGAAGGUCUUCGGAUCGUAAAACUCUGUUAUUAGGGAAGAACAAAUGUGUAAGUAACUAUGCACGUAUUGACGGUACCUAAUCAGAAAGCCACGGCUAACUACGUG
rnacentral:rRNA from 1 species